AUAUCAAUAAGCGGAGGAAAAGAAAAUAACAAUGAUUCCCCUAGUAACUGCGAGUGAAGAGGGACAAGCUCAAAUUUUAAAUCCAUCGGGUUUUACCUGAUCGAGUUGUAAUUUGAAGAAGCGUUUUCUGCGUAUUUGAUCAGCCUAAGUCCUAUUGAAUGAGGCAUCACGGAGGGUGAUAAUCCCGUCCGGUUGAUCAUUUGCGUUUUACGAUACGCUUUCUAAGAGUCAAGUUGUUUGGGAUUGCAGCUUAAAAUGGGAGGUAAAUUUCUCCUAAGGCUAAAUAACGGCGAGAGACCGAUAGCGAACAAGUACCGUGAGGGAAAGAUGAAAAGAACUUUGAAAUGAGAGUUAAACAGUACGUGAAAUUGUUGAAAGGGAAACGAUUGAAGCCAGUCGUACCUUCGGGUAAUCAGCCUUUCGGGUGCGAUUCUGUGGAGUUUGAGGAGCUUUAACACCUUCAUGCUUUGCAUAUUCGUGCUCUUGGGUGUACUUGCCCGUGUGGUUGGUUAACAUCAAUUUCGGGCACCAUAAAAUGGCUGGAGGAAUGUAGCUUCGAUCUUGUAUUGAAGUGUUAUAGCCUUCGGUAGAUGUGGUGAUCGAGAUUGAGGAUUGCAACGGAUACCUUUCGGGGCUACCUGUCUGAUCUCUGAUCGUUGCUUUGGUGCUGAAAGCGUGCUUAUAGUUAUCAAAGUCGAUGGUUAAUAGGUUAGAAUGGGUUAAAUUCGUUAAGGAUGUUGACGUAAUGGCUUUAAACGACCCGUCUUGAAACACGGACCAAGGAGUCUAACAUAUAUGCGAGUGUUAGGGUGAUUAAACCCUUACGCGUAAUGAAAGUAAUUUUGGUGGGAACACUUUUGUGCACCAUCGACCGAUCAGGAUAUUUUUUGAUAGAUUUGAGUAAGAGCAUAUCUGCUAGGACCCGAAAGAUGGUGAACUAUGCCUGAAUAGGGUGAAGUCAGAGGAAACUCUGAUGGAGGCUCGUAGCGGUUCUGACGUGCAAAUCGAUCGUCAAAUUUGGGUAUAGGGGCGAAAGACUAAUCGAACCAUCUAGUAGCUGGUUCCUGCCGAAGUUUCCCUCAGGAUAGCAGAAACUCGUUAACAGUUUUAUGAGGUAAAGCGAAUGAUUAGAGGCCUUAGGGUUGAAACAGCCUUAACCUAUUCUCAAACUUUAAAUAUGUAAGAAGUUUAUCGUUACUUAAUUGAACGUGAACAUUCGAAUGAGAGUUUCUAGUGGGCCAUUUUUGGUAAGCAGAACUGGCGAUGCGGGAUGAACCGAACGUGAGGUUAAGGUGCCAAAAUUUACGCUCAUUUAGAUACCACAAAAGGUGUUAGUUCAUCUAGACAGCAGGACGGUGGCCAUGGAAGUCGGAAUCCGCUAAGGAGUGUGUAACAACUCACCUGCCGAAUGAACUAGCCCUGAAAAUGGAUGGCGCUCAAGCGUAAUACCUAUACCUCACCUUUAAGGUUAAAGUGAAGCCUUAAAGAGUAGGCAGGCGUGGAGGUUUGUUAUAAAGCUUUAAGAGUGAUCUUGAGUGGAACAACCUCUAGUGCAGAUCUUGGUGAUAGUAGCAAAUAUUCAAAUGAGAACUUUGAAGACUGAAGUGGAGAAAGGUUCCAUGUGAACAGUGAUUGGACAUGGGUUAGUCGAUCCUAAGAGAUAGGGAAGUUCCGUUUUAAAAGGUGGCAUUCGUGCCGCACCUAUCGAAAGGGAAGUAGGUUAAUAUUCCUACACCAGGAUGCGGAUUAAUACGGUAACGUAAAUUAACUUGGUGACGUCAGUGAAGACCCCGGGGAGAGUUAUCUUUUCUUUUUAACAAUUGUAAAGACCAUGGAAUUUCGGAUUAACCGGAGAUAUGGUAUUUUAAUUGGAAGAGCCUGACACUUUUGUCAGGUCCGGUGCGUUUUCAAUGAUCCUUGAAAAACCAAGGGAGGGAUUUAUUCUCGUACCUGGUCGUACUCAUAACCGC
rnacentral:rRNA from 1 species